ACGCGAAAGGCCCCUUCGGGGGCCGAGUAGAGUGGCGCACGGGUGAGUAACACGUGGGUAAUCUACCUCUGGGUGGGGAAUAACAGCCGGAAACGGCUGCUAAUACCGCAUAAUGCAGCGGCACCACAUGGUGACAGUUGUUAAAGCGGGGGAUCGCAAGACCUCGCGCCUAGAGAUGAGCCCGCGGCGGAUUAGCUAGUUGGCAGGGUAACGGCCUACCAAGGCGACGAUCCGUAGCCGGCCUGAGAGGGCGGACGGCCACACUGGCACUGACAUACGGGCCAGACUCCUACGGGAGGCAGCAGUCGGGAAUUUUGGGCAAUGGGCGAAAGCCUGACCCAGCAACGCCGCGUGAAGGAUGAAGCUUUUCGGAGUGUAAACUUCAUAAGAAUGGGACGAAUAAGGAAGGGCUAAUACCCCUUUUGAUGACGGUACCAUUUGUAAGCUCCGGCUAACUCCGUGCCAGCAGCCGCGGUAAUACGGGGGGAGCAAGCGUUG
rnacentral:rRNA from 1 species